rnacentral:rRNA from 1 species
AGUGAACGCUGGCGGUAGGCCUAACACAUGCAAGUCGAACGGCAGCACAGGAGAGCUUGCUCUCUGGGUGGCGAGUGGCGGACGGGUGAGGAAUACAUCGGAAUCUACUCUGUCGUGGGGGAUAACGUAGGGAAACUUACGCUAAUGCCGCAUACGACCUACGGGUGAAAGCAGGGGAUCUUCGGACCUUGCGCGAUUGAAUGAGCCGAUGUCGGAUUAGCUAGUUGGCGGGGUAAAGGCCCACCAAGGCGACGAUCCGUAGCUGGUAUGAGAGGAUGUUCAGCCACACUGGAACUGAGACACGGUCCGGACUCCUACGGGAGGCAGCAGUGGGGAAUAUUGGACAAUGGGCGCAAGCCUGAUCCAGCCAUACCGCGUGGGUGAAGAAGGCCUUCGGGUUGUAAAGCCCUUUUGUUGGGAAAGAAAUCCAGCUGGCUAAUACCCGGUUGGGAUGACGGUACCCAAAGAAUAAGCACCGGCUAACUUCGUGCCAGCAGCCGCCGUAA